rnacentral:lncRNA from 1 species
UGACAGCAAGGACAACUGGACUCCUGAUCUUCAGGAAGUACAGAGACUGAUGUGAGCAAUGGUAGACACGGUAAAUUGUUCUGUUGUUUCUCUUAGUGAUUGAGUCUAUUUUCAGUGCUCUGAGUUGAAAGAGGAGAGAGAUAAAGGGUCACGGGGCUUGCAUUGUGAGGGAGCAUAACUGGAAGCCAAAUAUUCGUUCUACACUAGGUUUAGUGACACUUGUGGGUAAAAGGAAAUGUCCCUGGGUGGAGUCAGAGUGACAAACCAUUGUAAAAUUUGCUCUUAGAACUGUUGUUUGGUAAGAGUUCAGCAGAGACAGCUGUAGGAAAAUUACAAAAUGUCUCCCCCACAUUCAUCCUCAUCGCUGUUAAUGUGUAAGAGGGACAUCUCAAGUAUAUAGUGUGGUCUUUGUAGAGCAUUUUUAUUAAAAAAAUUGAUUGAUUGAUUGAUUGAUUUAAUGUGUGUGAGUUCUCUAUCUGUAUAUACACCUGUGUGCCAGAAGAGGGCAUCAGAUGCCAUUAUAGAUAGUUGUGAGCCACCAUAUGGUUAUGGGGAAUCGAGCUCAGGACCUCUAGAAGAGUAGUACCCAGUGCUCUUAACCACUGAGCCAUCCCUCCAGUCUGUAGUAGAACAUUCUUUAUUGUUUGCAUUUCGAAAUUAAAAAAAAAAGUUUUAAAGUGGUAUAGUUGAUAUAAAGUGAGGAGAAAAGGAAACAGAAAGGGCCUGAUGUUCUUCAAAACUGCCUGGAGUUUGAGAGUCAUCCUUAGAGCUGUGAUGGAGUCGCCUCACCCUGGUCAGACUACCCGGAGCACAUCAGUAUGCAGACAGGCUACUGUGAGUAUAGGAUUUCAUUAUCUCAGAAAUGGGUGUAAAACCUGAAUAAUUGUAUUGGAGGAAGACAGAUGCCCAUGAAGGCAUUCCCUACAACAAGGAGUAUGGUUGAUCUGGGUUAUGCCAGGUACUGGACACAGUGUACAAGCUUAACUAAGAGACCUGCUGGCAAGCAGUAGAGGCUAAUGUCCUUGUGGCUGGAUUUGAGGCUCAGCAUACAGAGAUGAGAUACCAGAAAUGGAUGAGCCAGUCAGAGGAACGAGACGCCAUCUACCAAUGAGCCUGCUGAAGUUCCUGAAACCGCAGAUUCUUCCUCGUUAUUCUUCUUGCCCUGCCACAUGUACAUAGAGGAAUCUUCCUUCCCUUUUGAUUGGGCAGUGCCUGGGAGGGUCAGGGCUUGCUGGCUUCUCUUCAGCUGAUUUCUAGAUGCCUAUUUGUUCCUUGAGACAUGAGGGGGCCUGGAAACUUUGGAAUGAUAUUUAACAAAUGCUUCUACUAACUGAAGUCUCAAGGAAGUUGCUGUUGGUGAUUUAUUGAGAAGUAUAUUAGU